UACAGGGGGGGCAAGCGUUGUUCGGAAUUACUGGGCGUAAAGGGUUCGUAGGUGGCCACUUAAGUCAGACGUGAAAUCCCUCAGCUUAACUGGGGAACUGCGUCUGAUACUGGGUGGCUAGAGUCCGGUAGGGGAACACGGAAUACCCGGUGUAGCGGUGAAAUGCUUAGAUAUCGGGUGGAACACCAGUGGCGAAGGCGGUGUUCUGGGCCGGAACUGACGCUGAGGAGCGAAAGCGUGGGUAGCAAACAGG
rnacentral:rRNA from 1 species